GCCCGGGUGGUGGAACAGGUAGACACAAGAGACUUAAAAUCUCUCGGUGCAACGCACCGUACCGGUUCGAUUCCGGUCCCGGGCACCA
rnacentral:tRNA from 1 species